rnacentral:rRNA from 1 species
UACAGAGGGUGCAAGCGUUGUUCGGAAUUACUGGGCGUAAAGCGCGCGCAGGCGGUCUUCCAAGUCAGUGGUGAAAGCCUGGAGCUCAACUCCAGAACUGCCAUUGAAACUGUUAGACUUGAGUACGAGAGAGGUGAGUGGAAUUCCCAGUGUAGAGGUGAAAUUCGUAGAUAUUGGGAAGAACACCAGUGGCGAAGGCGACUUACUGGACACAUAUUGACGCUGAGGUGCGAAAGCGUGGGGAGCAAACAGG